rnacentral:rRNA from 2 species
UACGUAGGGAGCAAGCGUUGUUCGGAUUUACUGGGCGUAAAGGGCGCGUAGGCGGCGCGGUAAGUCACUUGUGAAAUCUCUGAGCUUAACUCAGAACGGCCAAGUGAUACUGCAGUGCUAGAGUGCAGAAGGGGCAAUCGGAAUUCUUGGUGUAGCGGUGAAAUGCGUAGAUAUCAAGAGGAACACCUGAGGUGAAGACGGGUUGCUAGGCUGACACUGACGCUGAGGCGCGAAAGCUAGGGGAGCAAACGGG